ACGCCGCGUGNGUGAUGAAGGCUUUCGGGUCGUAAAGCUCUGUCAAGUGGGAAGAAAACACAUGGUGCUAAUAUCAUCUUGUGCUGACGGUACCACUGAAGGAAGCACCGGCUAACUCCGUGCCAGCAGCCGCGGUAAUACGGGGGGUGCAAGCGUUAUUCGGAAUUACUGGGCGUAAAGAGCGCGUAGGCGGUCUUUUAAGUCAGGUGUGAAAGCCCGGGGCUCAACCCCGGAAGUGCACUUGAAACUAAGGGACUUGAGUAUGGGAGAGGGAAGUGGAAUUCCUGGUGUAGCGGUGAAAUGCGUAGAUAUCAGGAGGAACACCGGUGGCGAAGGCGACUUCCUGGACCAAUACUGACGCUGAGGCGCGAAGGCGUGGGGAGCAAACAGGAUUAGAUACCC
rnacentral:rRNA from 1 species